rnacentral:rRNA from 1 species
GACGAACGCUGGCGGCGUGCUUAACACAUGCAAGUCGAACGGGAAGGCCCUGCUUUUGUGGGGUGCUCGAGUGGCGAACGGGUGAGUAACACGUGAGUAACCUGCCCUUGACUUUGGGAUAACUUCAGGAAACUGGGGCUAAUACCGGAUAGGAGCUCCUGCUGCAUGGUGGGGGUUGGAAAGUUUCGGCGGUUGGGGAUGGACUCGCGGCUUAUCGGCUUGUUGGUGGGGUAGUGGCUUACCAAGGCUUUGACGGGUAGCCGGCCUGAGAGGGUGACCGGCCAUAUUGGGACUGAGAUACGGCCCAGACUCCUACGGGAGGCAGCAGUGGGGAAUAUUGCACAAUGGGCGGAAGCCUGAUGCAGCAACGCCGCGUGCGGGAUGACGGCCUUCGGGUUGUAAACCGCUUUCGCCUGUGACGAAGCGUGAGUGACGGAAAUGGGUAAAGAAGCACCGGCUAACUACGUG